UAGCAUCCUUUAGUGCCCAUUUCCUGAAAGGUGGCCUACUGAGAGAGCAUGAUAUUAAAUAAUACUUGGCUUGCUGAGCACUUCACAUGCACCAUCCCACUUAAUCCUCACCAUUUAACCCUAAGAGAACUUCAAAUAACAACGUAGUUUCCAUUUGAUGACAUGGAACCUCAGUGUGAGUGACUCCAUUUUGAUUUUUAGUCUGGUUCAUUGAGACCUACUGCAGGAGCUUAGCCCGAAACAAUGGCCUACAAGUUUUAUUUAACAGUGAUACAUAUGCACACAUUUCUGUUGGGUUCAUACCUAAAAGUGAAAUUGCUUGUUAUGUAUAUGUAAAAUUUAGGUAGAUAAUCUCAGGCAAUUUUAGAAAAUGGUGGUUUCAGUUUAUACUCCCUUCAGCCAUGUAUGAGAGUUUCAGUUUCCCAACAUCCUUGCCAAUAAUUACUGCUGCAUAUCUUUUUAAUUAUAACCAUUCUGAUGGGGGCAUAGUGGUAUCUCACUGUGGUUUUAAUUUGCAUUUCCCAGAUUAUUAAUGAGGAUGAGCCCAUUUUCUUGUUCCUUGGGUAUCUGGAUAUCCCCCAUAAGUGCCUGUUCAAGUCUCUUGCUCAUUUUUGUAUUGGAUUGACAUUUUCUUAUGGGCAUAUAUUUUAGAUAUGAAUCCUGCUAUGGUUUGAAUGUAUGUGUCCCUUCAAAAUUCAUAUAUUGGAACUUAAACAUUAAGGCGAUGGUAUAAGAAGUGGAGCCUUUGGGAGGGGUUAGGCUAUGAGGACUCCAUCCUCAUGAAUGGGAUUCAUGCCCUUACAAAAGAGGGCAUUCAUGCCCUUCACAAAGAUUCAUUCCUUUUGCCCUUUUAACCCCUCACUGUAUGAUAACAAUGUUCCUCCCAGCAAGAGGACAACAACAAAGUUUCAUCUUGGAAUUAGAGAGUAAUUCCAAGACAACAAAUCUGCCAGUGCCUUGAUCUUGGACUUGCCAACCUCCAGAACUGUGAGAAAUAAAUUUCUACUAUUUAUAAAUUACACAGUCUGUGGCAUUUUCUUUUGGCAAUCAGGAAUACACUAAGAUAAGUCUUUUUUGAAUAUACACUAGCCCCCCUCAUCCACGGUUUUGCUUUCUGAAGUCGUAGUUACCCACACUCAACCACGGUCUGAAAAUAUUAAAUGGAAAAUUCCAGUAACAAAUAAUUCAUAAGUUUUAAACAACUUUCAUUAAAGUCUAUUGUUAUAAUUGUUCUAUUGUUAGUUGUUAGUCUCUUUCUGUGCC
rnacentral:lncRNA from 1 species